AUGAUUUGUUACGUGGAUCUCGAGACCUGAGAAACCUUGUCAAAUAAAGAUUCUCUAACAAUCUGUUGCGGCUGCUGCAGACCUGGGAUUUGGUCCUUUAACAAGAUGCAGGUGAUGCCAAUGGGCCUACACGUGGUCCACGAGGAGCCAGGGCAGUGGCUUCAGCUCCCAUCCCGCCUCCAGCGACCUGCAGUUGCACAAACCAGUGUGGCAUCUGCAGCCGCCCCGGCACUCCAGCCUCCGCAGGAGAGUCAGUGCAGCCAGGCGGCGAGGACAGGACAGGAUCCCCGAGGACAGGCCAGGACAGCCUCACACAGGGACGGUGACCAGCCAGACGGCCAAGCCUGCCGGGGAAGGUUGCACGGUGGUUCUGCGAGCCCUAUGCCUCCUGGACCAACCUGAGAAGGCCAAAUGUGUGCCCGUAACCAGUCAAGUGGGAUCCACUUCUGUUUAGCCUGCCUUUAGUUUCUCUCGAUAAAGCUUUCUCGCUUUUCUGCCUGCCUUCGUUUUGAGUCUGCUAAAGAUAUCACCAUCUUCACAACAUCAUUCUGCCUGGUUGACUACCAGAGGAGCUAGAGCUGGACUUUCACAAUUCAGCUGGGGAUCAUUUACCAAGCAUUAAAUUAAAAAGCCUAUGAAAGCAGUUUUAUCAAAAUAAACUAGAUAAAA